AGCUCCAAUAGCGUAUAUUAAAGUUGUUGCAGUUAAAAAGCUCGUAGUUGAACCUUGGGCCUGGCUGGCCGGUCCGCCUCACCGCGUGUACUGGUCCGGCCGGGCCUUUCCUUCUGGGGAACCUCAUGCCCUUCACUGGGCGUGUUGGGGAACCAGGACUUUUACUUUGAAAAAAUUAGAGUGUUCAAAGCAGGCCUUUGCUCGAAUACAUUAGCAUGGAAUAAUAGAAUAGGACGUGUGGUUCUAUUUUGUUGGUUUCUAGGACCGCCGUAAUGAUUAAUAGGGAUAGUCGGGGGCAUCAGUAUUCAAUCGUCAGAGGUGAAAUUCUUGGAUUGAUUGAAGACUAACUACUGCGAAAGCAUUUGCCAAGGAUGUUUUCA
rnacentral:rRNA from 1 species